CGUUUAGCCAUUUUCCCUUCUUGUUGGUGAGGGAUUUCUUGAGGCAGUUGAGGAUCGUCUUGUUGGAUACUUCGGCCUGCCCAUUGCUUUGAGGAUAUCUCGGCGUGGACAUGUGCUGCUAGAUGCCAUAUUCUUAAGGCACUUUUGUACUAACUCCUUAGCAUCUUGGUGCAUGGUAGGCCAAUAGUAGUCUGCCUUAAGAGCCUUCUAUGCUAAGGAUUGGCCUCCGAAGUGGUUUCCACAUACACCUUCGUGGAUUGAUC
rnacentral:lncRNA from 1 species